CCCGGGCCCCAGAUGCCUGGUUGUCCCCAGUGACACCACCUCAAAACUGGUGCUCGUUAGGGCGUUGCAAUUUGUCUUACGCCAUGGUGCGACUGGUCCUGAGAAUAAUGACUAAGGGGUAUCUAUAUGUAAAUAUGUCUCAAUCUGGUCAAGAAAAUAAACACCUACUGAGGCAUGGAAACAAACUCCACAACUCACGGAGAGUUAUAAAGCAGAUCUCAGAAAUCUGAAAGAUGCUGUGAAGACAUUGGACAGAUGCCAUGGCAACAGCCUCCAAAGGAAGUAUGUUGGUUUCACUGCCUGCAAGGAUAUGCUGCCACAGGAAUUAUUCUUGUCCUUUGUGGGAUAAAAAUAAUCUUGUUCAUUUACAUAUCUUCAAGCCUGUUAAGAAAGAAAGGUUUUUUUAAUAUCAUUAUGCAAUUGUCUUUGGUAUUCAGGAACACUGGAUACUACUAGGGUAUCGAAUGGGCAGAGCACGCAUUAGCCCCCAUGCAGGUUGCGGGUGAGGAUAGAGUUCACUGCCAAUAGUGAACUCUAGCCUGCUCAAAGCUCACAGACUCAUGUACUAGCAACUGCUGAAUGGCACCAGCCUAAAUUCAGCACUGGCUAAUUCACCCUUCUGCUUUGAUGCACAGGAAGUAGUUAAAAUUAUUUAGAAGGUGUCACACCUGGAUUUCAGGACUGUCUUUUUGAUGUAGGAAACAGCAGUCUGUCACUGCAGCCUGAGUCUCAUCGCAGCUUCUGCACAGUACUUUUGGUCCAGCCAGGUCCAGUGAUAGGAGAAACUUGUUGUUGUGACAACACUGUGACCCUAUUAAGCAUCUAGAUCAGAGUUUAUUGAAUACUGUGGAGGCAGGUACCUUUCUGUAUCCCCUAACACCAUGUUCUGCAGCCUGUCUGAUCUGGUUGGGGUUGAAAAACUGAAGCAAAAUGCAACACUGGAUAUGCCCAUCCAUUUUUUUCUUCCAUCCCUCUGGGGUACAAGCCCCUCUGCCUCAAGCUGAUCCCAUCCAAGGCCCAUAGACCUUCCUGACCUCCUUGCUCUGCUCUGGCACUUUUCUGGGGAAGAGAGGAAUCAUCCACUUCCAGUCCCUUCCCACAACUAAAGCAGAGCGGCCUUACAGAUAAGUCCAGCUCAGGGACAAGGAGACCAAAAUCAGGGCUGGCUAGGCAAUACAGAGGAAGGUGGGUAUGAGCACCAAAUGACCUCAGUGGCACUUGUUUUGCAUAGGAUUGGUGUCAUAUUACGUAGCACCAUCACCAGGGUGCAGUACAGCCAUACAGUCCCUGAUGUGACUAUGGUGGGGUUUGCUCCAAAACAGAGUAGUUGUAUUGCUUCUACAAAACUUGAACACUGCUGAAAGGAUUUGUGUGUGGCAAAUGCAAGACUGAUAACCAAGCAAUUUCAGUCUAAUGUCAUCAUUAGACUCCCCCAAAUUCAUCAGUGAUAAACAAUAAACUGCUUUUUCCUGAGGAAAGGUAUUUAUUUUGCGCAGACCAGCUGCACACUCACCACAAAAGGCUUUGGUGACCAAACCCCAUCUUGCUAUGUUAUCUGAAAGGCUGCCUCAUCCCCGGGGAGAGCACCGGCCUGGCCAGGCCCACAGCAAGCACGAAGGAGACCCCGAAGGAGACCCCGGCAGCAACACAGUACCACACCCCACCACAGCCUCCCCACCCAGGACGGGACACCCCUGCGUCCCAGCCCGGGCCAGGAGCGGCGCCCACCGCUAAGCCCUCAGGCUCAGGUCCCAGUCCCGGAGUGCCGUCCCGGCGCCAAGCCCAGCCACAGCAGGGCGUAGAGCCACCCCACACUAGGCCCGUGGCCCCGGUGUGACAGCAGAUGGUAGCAGAUACCCUGCAUCCAGGCCCUAGCACUCACCAUCUUGCUGCAAAGAAUUCGGAACAACAGAAAAGGAACUUUAAUUACUGUCCAUCACGAUGCAGAGGAGAUACACCGUGUCUUAGAAAGAGUGAAGAAGGAUGGAGAACACCACUGGUGGGACACUUUACCUUGGAUGGUCACCGACCGCAACAGGAAUCUUCAACAAGAUGCUUCGCCCUGUCGUGGUUUUACUAAUACUUACCAUAUUGUGUUGUAUUUUAACAAUUACUUUGUAUGUUAAACUUUGGAUUAUGAUGAAACAUUUGUCUCGCCAAAUGUCCCCACAAGAUAUAUAUGUCCUCGAUAAUCCUCACCACAAGAACGCAUGUGACACACCCAAUGCAUCCCAAAUCUUGUGAAGCUUGAGUGACUAUAGUCACGGGGUGGACUAAUGUGGACUAAUUAUGUGGACUAAUCGCUGGAGGUGACUUAGAAAUUGAACUUAUGUUUUUAGAAAAGGUACAGCAUGGAAUGAGCUUUCAGGGUACAGUGUAGCUGACAGGUGAGAAAACCAUGCCAUGGAAGUCCCCUAGGCUUGUAACCUUAGAUGUCGGCAAUGCCAGAAGAACUUGGCGUACUGACUCUAAGAGGAUCUGUCUGGAGGGUGGAGCGGUGUGGAGGCAUCGCGGCCAGGCUCUGUGAUAAAUGGGAGCUCGAGGUACCAUGGAGCUGGUACGCUGCACAUUUGCUACCCUGGGCCAACAGUCUGUCAUGCUUUUGACAAAAUGCUGUCCUUUUCAGGAACUUUGCUCAUUAUAAUAUCGUCAUAAUACCAAAACACACCACCAUCCCAAAAGCUACCUGCCUCUAAGGUGCAACCACCCCUCACUGGGCAUGUGCUUUGACCUUUUCUAGUCUACACCUUUAAAAGUAAAGUGAGGAAAUUUUACACCAAUCCUAAUAAAGGUAUGUAUGACUGGAGUCACUCAAGCUCCACCUGAAAGAUAAAAAAUAGUGUAAAAGAGGUUAAGAGAAAAAGGGUGUUAGGGAAGGUACCAUCGCGUACCACUCUGACUUCUGGGUUCAGCCGAUUGGCUGAGCCUCUCUUCCCCCCCAUUGGGAUGCCUUUGGGUAAGAUUUGAGCACUUGGUUAUACCAAGCAUUUCCGCGGAAAACUUAGAAACCUCUCUAUACCUUCACUUUAAAUCUCCAAUGCAUUAGAGUCGCUUCAUAUUUGCUUAACGCACUUGUAUCCUAGCAGUGCUAAUAAUUUUCUUAGUAUUUUUGUGUCUUGUAACCAGCAAUUCUAUCACUGGUAAUCCAAAGAACUUGUGUAUCUGUUGCUUUAAUAAAUUACACUAUUCAUUAAUCUAGCCGUGAUUGUUCUCACUGAACACGACCGGCCUGGGCAGCUGCAAAUUAGUUACUAACAACAAAUACUCUGAUGAGUGAUUACUUCCACAACCCUUGGAAGAUAAACCGUUGACCAAGUCUGAGACUAAGACUGGACUUAGCCGCACCUAGGCUCCUCUCGGAGAAGGAGUUUAGAAAGCAAGGGGUUCCUGUCUGAACCUCGUGACUCAACGGUAGGGUGUCCCCCUAGCCACUCCUCAGACUCCUACUAUUAACGCAACAGUGGGGAGGCAAAUAGGCUGGAUGAUCUUCUGAGGUUCCUCCCGGCCAUAUUUCUGUGAUGCUAUGAUUGUAUAAAAGGCCUCUAAGUAUAAAGACAUAACUGUAUCUCUAAUCUUCCUGAGUGUCAUUUUGGGGUCCCGACCCUUGGACCGGACUAAUGUCAGCGGUCUGCUGAAGAGGGGAGUGCCACGAUGAGGCCGAGGUGAGGGGCAGAGCUAGGUGAAGACUUGGUGGUCACCCCUUGCUUAGCCCACAGCCCCAACCGUGCAGACUCCAAUAAUGUGCCUCUGCCACUCCCUACACUGCUUAUCAGCUGCCAGAAAAUUAGGCCUAAACUUAUGUCAAGAGCCUAGACAGUUUAUAACAGAACACCCUGGGGGUUGUAUUUAAACUAAAUCAAGAAGCUGUCACCCACUUGCAACUAAACACUAAUCACAAGCACAACUCGUGGCUGAGGGUUUAGUUGUGUGGCUCCUUUAAAUUACAGAAGAGUGAACAUUUUGGCUGAACCAUGAGGCCUUCCUCCCUCCUUGCCCCUCAUUUAUCUACCCAAACAGCCCCUGUUCAGCUCCAAGAGUCAUAGCAGGGUGUGUUGCGGUGAUUAAGACACUGGGUACAAAGAUAUGUGGGGACUAGGAACCUCACACCAGCUAUAAAAUCAGCGAAUGGGAGUAACUCGGUGGAGCUGCCUCUCAUCUGGUCUGAGACCCCCACCACCUUUGACCUUGCCACAGACUACUGGAACACUGCACAGGUCGUAUUCCCCUUCCCCCAGUUCCAUGUAUCUUGCUCUACUAAUUUCUGUCUUGGGCUUACAAUAUAGGUUACAAUAUAGGUUAAAAUAACUUGCUUAAGGACAGUAGAAAAUAUAAUAAAAUUGUGGUAUAUGUUAACCGCCUGGCGUCUCAUCAGUGAAGCGCAUUAACAGACAGAAUCUGUCUCGCUGCGGAUAACAAUCUGGGAACAGUCCAUGACAGUCAUGUUCUCAAAUGCAUUUGACUAAUUUUAUGCUUGGGAAAAAAGGUCAGAUCUUCAUUAAUUCUGUGUUCAAAUGUUGUCUGCUUUUCCCAUUAUGUUAGUUGGCCAAAUAAAUGCUAUGGCCUCUACCUUACAAACCUGCCUUGCAAUGACAGGUUGUCAUUUUAAACAUACAUCCUUCCCCAGGGUAAUGUAUGCAUUUUCAAGAUUAUUCUAAAGCACGUUAAGCCAAAAAGAUUUAUUACUGAACAAAAGAAAAGCAAAUGUUGCCCAGUCAUAUCUGUAUAUAUGUGUAUAUAUCUCUAUGCAGGUGCAUACACGUGGAUGGAUACAUACUUAGCAGUAGUUGAAAUGUUUUCUUUUAUUAAAAAAAAAGCAACACACAAAAGCUUGUCUGAUUCAUAGCUAGACACAGCCUAAAUCUAAGCCCAGACAUUAUGGCUGAAAUUUGCUAACUUGGAAUUCCAGGACUGAGAGUCUAAAUGUAACUAACAAUGUUAAUUCUUUUAUACUUCCAAAUGUAAAGUUAGAUACUUUCAUGGUUUCAGCUGGGAUAGAGUUAAUUUUCUUCACUCUAGCUGGCAUAGUGCUGGGCUUUGGACUUAGUAUGAAAACAAUGUUGAUAACACACCGAUGUUUUGGUUGUUGCUGGGUAGUGCUUGUACUAGUCAAGGACUUUUCUAGCUUCCCAUGCUCUGCCAGGUGCACAAGAAGCCGGGAGGGGAGGGGGCACAGCUAAGAGAGCGGAUUCAAACUGGCCAAAGGGAUAUUCCAUAUCAUGUAACGUCAUGCCCAGUAUGUUAACUGGGAGGAGCUGGCCAGGGGAAGCAGGCAGCGAUCGCGGCUCGGGGCGCAGCAGCAUCGGUUGGCGGGUGGUGAGCGGUUGUAUUGUUUGCGUUUUUCUUUUUUUUUAUUUUUCCCUUUUUAUUAUCUUAGCAUUAUUGUUAUUAUCAUAAUCACUAUUAUAAUAAUUAUUUUAUUGUAAUUAUUAAACUGUUCUUAUCUCAA